rnacentral:rRNA from 1 species
CAGCAGCCACGGUAAAACGUAGGUGGCAAGCGUUGUCCGGAAUUAUUGGGCGUAAAGGGCUCGCAGGCGGUUUCUUAAGCCUGAUGUGAAAGCCCCCGGCUCAACCGGGGAGGGUCAUUGGAAACUGGGAAACUUGAGUGCAGAAGAGGAGAGUGGAAUUCCACGUGUAGCGGUGAAAUGCGUAGAGAUGUGGAGGAACACCAGUGGCGAAGGCGGUUCUCUGGUCUGUAACUGACGCCGAGGAGCGAAAGCGUGGGGAGCGAACAGGAUUAGAUACCCCAGUAGUCCCUGUCUCUUAUAC